UACGGGGGGGGCAAGCGUUGUUCGGAAUUACUGGGCGUAAAGGGCUCGUAGGCGGCCAACUAAGUCAGACGUGAAAUCCCCAGGCUCAACCUGGGAACUGCGUCUGAUACUGGAUGGCUUGAAUCCGGGAGGGGGAUGCAGAAUUCCAGGUGUAGCGGUGAAAUGCGUAGAUAUCUGGAGGAACACCGGUGGCGAAGGCGGCAUCCUGGACCGGCAUUGACGCUGAGGAGCGAAAGCCAGGGGAGCAAACGGG
rnacentral:rRNA from 1 species